rnacentral:rRNA from 1 species
AGUGAACGCUGGCGGUAGGCCUAACACAUGCCAGUCGAACGGCAGCACAGUAAGAGCUUGCUCUUACGGGUGGCGAGUGGCGGACGGGUGAGGAAUACAUCGGAAUCUACUUUUUCGUGGGGGAUAACGUAGGGAAACUUACGCUAAUACCGCAUACGACCUACGGGUGAAAGCAGGGGAUCUUCGGACCUUGCGCGAUUGAAUGAGCCGAUGUCGGAUUAGCUAGUUGGCGGGGUAAAGGCCCACCAAGGCGACGAUCCGUAGCUGGGCUGAGAGGAUGAUCAGCCACACUGGAGCUGAGACACGGGCCAGACUCCUACGGGAGGCAGCGGUGGGAAUAUUGGACAAUGGGCGCAAGCCUGAUCCAGCCAUACCGCGUGGGUGAAGAAGGCCCUCGGGUUGUAAAGCCCUUUUGUUGGGAAAGAAAAGCAGCAGGUUAAUACCCCGCUGUUCUGACGGUACCCAAAGAAUAAGCACCGGCUAACUUCGUG